GGAGUUAGCCGGUGCUUCUUCUGUGAGUGAUGUCCUUCCUGCCGGCUAUUAACCCGCAGGCCUUCUUCCUCACUGAAAGUGCUUUACAACCCGAAGGCCUUCUUCACACACGCGGCAUGGCUGGAUCAGGGUUGCCCCCAUUGUCCAAUAUUCCCCACUGCUGCCUCCCGUAGGAGUCUGGGCCGUGUCUCAGUCCCAGUGUGGCUGAUCAUCCUCUCAGACCAGCUACGGAUCGUCGCCUUGGUGAGCCGUUACCUCACCAACCAGCUAAUCCGACAUAGGCUCAUCCGAUAGCGCGAGGCCCGAAGGUCCCCCGCUUUCCCCCGUAGGGCGUAUGCGGUAUUAGCCUGGGUUUCCCCAGGUUAUCCCCCACUACCGGGCAGAUUCCUAUGCAUUACUCACCCGUCCGCCGCUCGCCACCAGGGAGCAAGCUCCCCGUGCUGCCGCUCGACUUGCAUGUGUUAGGCCUGCCGCCAGCGUUCAAUCUGAGCCAGANNAACACUGA
rnacentral:rRNA from 1 species